GUGCUCGCUUCAGCAGCACAUGUACUAAAACUGGCACAACACAGAGAAGAUUAACAUGGCCCUGUGCAAGGAUGACGCAAAUUCGUGAGGUGUUCCAUGUUUUA
ensembl:snRNA U6 U6 spliceosomal RNA